CUAAGAAUCUUCCGCAAUGGGGGAAACCCUGACGGAGCGACGCCGCGUGGACGAUGAAGGCCGUAAGGUUGUAAAGUCCUUUUGCAGGUGAAGAAUAAGCCGGGGAGUGGAAUGCCCUGGUGAUGACGUUAGCCUGCGAAUAAGCCCCGGCCAAUUACGUGCCAGCAGCCGCGGUAAUACGUAUGGGGCGAGCGUUGUUCGGAGUUAUUGGGCGUAAAGGGCGUGUAGGCGGCUCGAGAAGUCUGGUGUGAAAUCGCAGGGCUCAACCCUGCGGGUGCGCUGGAAACUGACGGGCUUGAGUCCCGGGGGGGAAGCUGGAAUUCCUGGUGUAGGAGUGAAAUCUGUAGAGAUCAGGAAGAACACCGGUGGCGAAGGCGAGCUUCUAUUCGAGGACUGACGCUGAGGCGCGAAAGCGUGGGGAGCAAACAG
rnacentral:rRNA from 1 species